rnacentral:rRNA from 1 species
AGCGAACGCUGGCGGUAGGCCUAACACAUGCAAGUCGAACGGCAGCACAGUAAGAGCUUGCUCUUACGGGUGGCGAGUGGCGGAUGGGUGAGGAAUAAAUCGGAAUCUACUUUUUCGUGGGGGAUAACGAAGGGAAACUUACGCUAAUACCGCAUACGACCUACGGGUGAAAGCAGGGGAUCUUCGGACCUUGCGCGAUUGAAUGAGCUGAUGGCGGUUUGGUUAGUUGGUGGGGUAAAGGCGCAGCAAGGUGAAGAUCGGUAGCUGGUCUGAGAGGAUGUACACCCACACUGAAACUGCACCACCGUCCAGACUCCUACAUGAGGCACCAGUUCCUAAUAUUGGACAAUGGGCGCAAUCCUGAUCCAUCCAUACCACCUGGAUGAAGAAACCCUUCGGGUUGUAAAACCCUUUUCUUGUUAAAAAAAAGCAUCACUUUAAUACCACCCUUUUCUGACGGUACCCAAAUAAUAAGCACCGGCUAACUUCGUG